GGGAAGAAGGAGUAAUCCCAUGACUUUCCUCUUAUUCCUUUCAAGUGUCUGAAUAGGUUACUUCAAAUUCCACUGUGCAGUUUAUUUAUCAUCUGGAAUCUUAGCAGUUGAAGGAUCCGGAAUAUAUCAAACUUCCUAGGUCUCUGUCUGGACACCCGUCCUAGUUCAGGAAGCAAUUAGUCUGAGAAAGACAGAAGUGAGAGUGUGGGAGCAGAAUAUAUAUAUCCUUUUAAAAUAAUUUAGUAACAACCUUAGGUAAGUGACCAAUAAUUUAUAGAGUCUAUUCUUUUUAUAGAGAUAUUUCCUUGCAGCUCAACUGGUGAGCUUGCUGGGUUUAGAGGAUUAAUCUUUGACGUAGUAAAUAUGUUCAAGCUGUAAUUCAGCCACGGGGAUAACGGGAACUUAGACUUGUCUUGUAUAAGGGGAAAUAUUGAAUGGAUUUGUGGAGGAUCCACCACAAUGGUCCUUAGUGUCUCUUGCCUCUUGGCAUCGCAGAGUUUUGAACGGCAAGGCAGAUAGUGCCAUUAUUUUACAGAUGUGAGAGAAAAUGGCAGGCUCAGGACUGGAAUAGCAUCAUUUGCUUCAAUUCAUGAGCUUACCCCUUCUUUCCUUCCACAUACUAAGUAGCCUAAAAGUUCAACAUGUUCUUGUAGGGAUGUCAGCUUCCCCAUGACUCAAUCUCAGCCCUUACCUUGCUAUGCUUUAAGUGUUCAUACAUGUUUCAGGACUUGAUAGCACACCACACUACCAUGUGUGGUUAGCAAACUUGUCUGUUGUUUUUUUUUUUUUUUUAAUUUGUUUUGUUUUGUUUUUGAGACAGGGUCUUACCAUGUGGCCUGGAACUUGAAACGAAGAACUCUGGCUUUGAAUUCACAGAGAUCCUCCUGCCUCUGGCUCCUGAGUUCAAGGAUUAGAGGGUGUGCCUUUACUCCGAGAUGCAAACCCUAGUCUUGCUUGCAAAGCUUCUCCAUUAAUUUCCUUCUAUUAUUUCCUUCCUGUUUUUCUCUGUGGUCCAUGCCUCUCUUCAGGCCCCUCAUUUAGGUAUGUGUUCCUCCCCUCAGUACUUUCCUCAGGCUUUCUCCUCCCCUGGCUGCAGAGCUUCUUCUCUUUCUUCAUGAUUCAGUCUCUUUCUUUCCUUCCAAUCAGCUCUAGAAACCCUAUUCUAGGAGGCCUUCCCAGAGCACCUUCUGUUUGGGUGCUUCUUGUCUCUGCAUUACACAGGCCAGCCAUGGCUAUACCAGCUGCUUAUGCUUAAUAACCAACCGGAAGCUAUUUGUGUGUGCACAUAUAUGUAUGUAUAUAAAUGCUCAUGUAUGUGUGCAUGUGCAGGUGUGAACACAUAUGUACAAGCAAGUGUGUGGAGGCUAGAAGUUCACAUUGGGUGUCUCUCUACCUUAUUUUUUGAGACAAGGUUUUUUAACCUCUAGCUCACUUCUGGCUAUACUGGCUGGCCAGCAAGUCCUGGGAAUCUGUCUCUACCUCCCCAGUGCUGGGAUGACCGAUGUAUAAUUCUGUACUUGACUUUUUACAUGGGAGCUGGGGAUCCAAACUGAGGUCCCUGAGCCUACACAGCAAGCAUUUCACUUAUUGAGCCAUUUCUUCAGGCUCCUAAAGUCAUUUUUGUAGGUUUUUAUAUUUUAUUAAUUUAUCCAGAUUGGCUUCUUUAUUGUAAGAUUUGUUUAUUUUUAUGAGUAUUUUGAUCGCAUGUAUGCAUGUGUACCAUGUAUAUACCUGGAGCUUACAGAUGCUAGAAGAUGUUGUCAGGUGUCCUGGGACUAGAGGUACAGAUGGUUUUGAGGUGUCAUGUGAGUGCUAGGAACCAAACCUUGACUCUUUGCAAGAGCAGCAAAUGUUCUUAACCAUUGAACCAUCUCUCUAGUCCCUGAUUAUGGGAUUCUUUUUAUACAUUUUUAAAGAUAUAUUUACUUAUUUUAUGUAUGAGUACACUAUUGUUCUUUUCAGACAUACCAGAAGAGGGCUUCAGAUCCCAUUACAGAUGGUUGUGAGCCACCAUGUGGUUGCUUGAAAUUGAACUCAGGACCUCUGGAAGAGCAGUCAGUGCUCUUAACUGCUGAGCCAACUCUUCAGCUCCUGAUUAUGAAAUUCUUAAGGGGGAAAACUUCACUCAGGAUCUGAUCUCAUGUUACCUGAUUAGAGAUGGGUCUGGGGUUGCAUAGUCUGAGAAAGUUAAAGUUGCCUGUGUAUUGGGGGAAAAAAAAAGAAGAAAAAUCAAGUCAGGUGCUGUGGCACAUGUCUGUAACCCCAACACACAGAAGGGAAGGAAGAAAGGUCAGGACUUCAAGGCCAUUCUCUACUUCAGAGCAAGUUUGAGACUAGCCUGAGCUAUGUGAGUUCCCAUCUCAAAAUCUGAAAAAGGAAAGAAAACAGGACAGUGUGACUUACAGUGAAUGGGAAUGGUUACCUUGCACAGAUGCGGCAGAAACUUGAAAUUACUUCUUAUGGUUAUUCCAGAGCUGGGAUUCUGUAAGCCUAGGGACCAACCAUAGCCUUUACCUGGUGCUGUUGCUAAUGUUGUGACCUGUUAAACAAAAAGACAUCACACGAGCAGUAGGUGGCAGAUUGGCAUGUAUGAAUUUUAAAAUGGCUUGGUGGCAGGAGCUUCAUGUGUAGACUGUAUUGUUAGGCAGAGCACCUGGCUGCCCAGUAGAUGACCCGGCUGCUGCCUAGAGGUCUCUACCUCAGGGAUGGGAGGCCCUGAGAGCCAUUUUGACCCAAGUUCAAAUUCCCUAGAACAAACAAGCUGAUCUCUUGCUCCAAGCAGCAGUCACAGAGGCUCCAGUGUGUUUAUUGACUCUUGCAUGUCCCUGCCCUGGAGAACAAACAAACAACUCAGCUUGACUCAUCCCCUCCACCAACCUUACCCUGUUUCGUGUCUGGGGUUUGCCAGGAAAAUCCCUUAGACCCUAUGGAAAUAAAAAGAGCCAAAAUUUAUGGGGUUCUGUUCAUAUAUUUGCACUCCUUCCCAAGGAGUACUGGCCCUGCUUUAGGGGAGGGGCGGGAAGAGGGACAGAGCCCAGCAGUGACUUCCCAUUGCUUGGCUCGGGCUCUGUGUGUUGCUUGAGGCAAAUCAGCUUGCUUCACUGAUUCAUUCAUUCAACAAGUUCUGAUUGAAAGCCUACUGUAUGUGAGGCCUUCCCCUCUCCUGACUAGGCUUGCUGGCUCUUGCCAGGCAGAAUGCUGAUGCCUCCUUCAGCCAAACAGAUUGAAGCCUCAAUUUCCUAGGACCCUUAUUAUAAUAGUGCCCCUUUUCUCCCUUAGUACCCAGAAAGGACUUUCUUCCUGAGCCCUAACCAGCUCUUUUAUGAAACUUACCUCUUGGGAUACCCCACGCUGCUUUUACCUAGCCUUGUCUCACAUCUUCUACACGGGGGAAAGCAGCUCAUGCUCCUCUUGGAGCUCAGCUUAUUCCCUUCCCUUCCCUCCAGUAUCUCCCCAGGUUGGAGGAGGUGGAUGACGUCAUCCUCGAAGCACCCACGUUUCAUGGGAUGUGCACAGGAGCUCACUGAAAAUGUAUUGCGCGACCAGGCUUGUGAAGGAAACAACAGUCUACUCGAAAUUGCAGUCUUACCUCGUGGGGCAUCUCAGAGGCUUCAACGCGUUAAUAAACAUUUGAAUCUUGAGAAGGGAGCACAGCGUGUAAUAUUGUUCAAAUUAUCAGGCCCUGCAACACUCAUUAGUUCCUCUUACGCAGCUGGGCACGGUGGUACGUGCCUUUAAUCUCAGUACUCAGGCGGCACUGAUACUGGGAUCUCAGUGACAUCCAGCCUGGUCUCCAGAGCACGUUCCAGGCCACCCAGAUGAGAUGCUCACAGAAAGACCCUGUCUUGACACAAGCAAAUAGUGUUACAUUAGUGUUCCCUAAAAUUCAAGGUAGGGAAUGCUGACGUGGAAUGAAUAUCGGGAAUUAGAAGACCUGGAGCUUUAUCCUCUCUGCUUCUCAUUUUUGUGGUUAAGAAAGUCACUCUACCUCCCCGUCUCUGGGAAAUGAAAUGAUGUGGAGUAAACAAUCCUUUAAGCCUCUUCUGGUUAUGUCCACAGGUAGACCCGGGAUCCUAAGCACCAGAAAUAAAAUCUAAAAUCGAUGUCUGGGUACCCCAUAAAAGACACACAAAUAGUAGAACAAAACAUUUUGCUGGCAUGUGGCUGAAGAACCUGGGUACACACACUUUUCAGGAAGGGAAAGACACAGAAAUAAAAUGUCAGUGUUUCCGACAUAGUUAAGGGUAAAAAGUUGAAGCUAGGAAGCCUCCUUGGAAGACAGGAGACAAGAACGUGGUCUCCGAUAACAGGCCUGGCUGGGAGGGGAUGUCUUGGGUUUUCAGGGACUCCUGCUUGGCAGAAAAUGAAUGGCAGAGAAUGAAAGAUAUCUUGGGAAAGUGAUGGGAUGGGCCAGAUUCUGGCACUCUAGUAUGCUCUGUCUGGAGCUCUUGGGAUAGGGGGUCAGUACACAUUUCACUCUGAGUCAGCCCCAGGGUGUUUAGACAAGAUGCUCACAUCUGCUGGUCCCCUUGGAAGAGGGGUAGAUUCCUUAGUGGGUGGCUUAAACCGUUUGCCUCUUCUUGCAGCAGGUGUGGUGGGGUAGAGUCUUGGAUUCAGUAUGAGCCUCUGGGCACUGUCACUUAGGGAAGAUAAGAGUGAUGAGCAUAGACUCUUAUCUUUAUAGCUUUUCUGGUUUGAUUUAUAUGUUCCGUGUGUGUGUGUGUGUGUGUGUGUGUGUGUGUGUGUGUGUGUACAUGCACCUGCUUAGUGUAUGAAGAGUGUGCACUUGCACACACAGAGGUCACAUGGCCAGGCCUUAUAUGUAAUCUGUGUUUGCAAUGUGAUUAUGUACCUAUAGAGCAUUACAUAAAGUUGCAUUUUGUGUGUUGUUUAAAAUGGUGCAUAUACUAUGUAUGUGUGUAGAUAACGUUUUUGCUUUAUAUGUGGAGGCCAGGCUUAUUCUCACCUGUAUAGUUUUUACACAGAUGUUUGUAUAUAUUUACACACCUGUAUCACAGGCUGUAUCUCUCUGAGCUACUUAUGUUCCCAUUUCCUUGUCUUUGGGGUGGGUGGGUGGGAUUGUUUCAUUAGAUCAACAAGUGUUUACUGGGAGCUUACUAUGAGUUGAACAUGUGUCUGUAUAAUCUGUCUAUCUGUGGAGUGUAUCCGCAUCUGUGUUUUAUCAGCAACAGGAUUUUAAAAAAUAUAUGUAUAUCCCAGUUUCCUGAUUACUUAAAUACUUUAAACUUUAUACUGCAUAUCAUUGUCAGCUGCUCCCAAGUACCUCUUGAACAAAGCAGGAGAUAACUAGCCAUAUUUAAUUUAUGUACACCUGCCUAGUGUGGUUACAUUGGAGUAGAUAAAAUCCAUGCAUGCCAUGAUCUUGUUCAUCAUAUUGAAAUACAACUUGCUCCCAGGCCUCUGUUCCAUCUUUUUCUUUUUCUCCUAAGAGAACUAAGAAAACACCUCAAAUACCUCUACUUUUCCCUUCCUGCCCUCUCCCACCCAGGAAACAAGGGUAGGACAAAGUCCUACUGAUUUUGAGUCCAGGCAUUUGAGAAGAUUCUCUUUUCUUUUGCCUCUCCCUGGGCUGCUCUUUUCUAUCCUUCACAUAGGUCUCCCAAUCCCUCGAAAGAUAGAGACAAGGUUUUCUUUUCCCCAGGGAAACCAGAGGGAGUGCAAGAGAGAUCUUGCUUGAAGGGAAUCUUCUAUUUUAUGGGCUUGGAGAAUAAUGUUCCUUCGUUAAGAUAGCAUCUCAGCAGAAUGAGAGAGGCCUCUGCUCUUCCCC
rnacentral:lncRNA from 1 species